rnacentral:rRNA from 1 species
ACAGAGGUCUCAAGCGUUGUUCGGAUUCACUGGGCGUAAAGGGUGCGUAGGUGGUGAGGUAAGUCUGAUGUGAAAGCUCGCAGCUCAACUGCGAAAUGGCAUUGGAAACUACCCCGCUAGAGGAGUGGAGGGGGGACUGGAAUUCUUGGUGUAGCAGUGAAAUGCGUAGAUAUCAAGAGGAACACCAGUGGCGAAGGCGAGUCCCUGGACAACACCUGACACUGAGGCACGAAAGCUAGGGGAGCAAACAGGA